AUUGAACGCUGGCGGCAGGCCUAACACAUGCAAGUCGAACGAGUAGAGGACGGGUGAGUAAGGUCUGGGAAACUGCCCGAUGGAGGGGGAUAACUACGGGAAACGGUAGCUAAUACCGCAUACCAUCGUAUGUGCCCAGAUGGGAUUAGCUAGUAGGUGGGGUAACGGCUCACCUAGGCGACGAUCCCUAGCUGGUCUGAGAGGAUGACCAGCCACACUGGAACUGAGACACGGUCCAGACUCCUACGGGAGGCAGCAGUGGGGAAUCUUCGGCAAUGGACGAAAGUCUGAUCGAGCCACGCCGCGUGUGUGAAGAAGGUUUUCGGGUUGUAAAAUACUGUCGGUAGGGAGGCGUUAUCUACCGAGGAAGCCACGGCUAACUCCGUGCCAGCAGCCGCGGUAAUAC
rnacentral:rRNA from 1 species